CUUUCUCAACGUGUCGAGUUCGAUCUUCUCAUCGCCUCAUUCGUUAGGACACUCGAGAGCUUCAAUCAGGACUGCAACAAGACUGCAAUUCCAGUGAAACCAUUUUCAGGAAGUGAUAUUGUGUAUUUUUCCCACUUGAUUUCAACUGUACAAACUGAGGGAGAAGGACGACAGGAACAUUUGCAUGCUAUUGGAUAUUACUGUAGCAGAAAGAACAAAAGUGGAAACAAGCAUGCAGAUUCAAAGAGAAGUGCAUUAUUAGUUGAUCUGAUGAAAAAAACAUUUGUCCUCUAACUGCAUAGACCAAAUUAAAUUCACAAGCAAGAUGCCAAGAAGACAUAGCAUGGGAGAACCUCCUGAAUUUUUUAUAAAUGAUGAAGGACCAGUAGUGGAGGAGGAGAAGUCGUGGUGGAAACUAUUAGCGGGAGUAGCAACAACAGCAGCAUUAAUAGCAGCAAAAGUAACAAAAUCAGGAGGAGCAGCAAAAGUGGGAGCAGCAGUAGCAGCAGCAGCAACAGGACCAGCAGCAGUAGCAGGAGCUGCAGCAGUGGUAGCAGUAGUAGCAGGAGUAAUGAUAGUAAGAAAACAAAAACAAAACUAAAAAAAUAGUUUAAAAAAAUAGUUUCUGGACAUUUCUCUGAAUUAUUUAUGAGAAUGAAACUUUUAAUCCAAUCACUGUGCCCUAUUAUGCAUGAUAUUGCAUUACAAUGGAGAAUUUAAAUGUCACAAAUGUAAAGACUGUUUCAGUGCUACUCAUUCACCUCUGCCUGUUCAACUUUGUGUUGUCAGUCAGACACGUCCUCGGUACAGCAACACAAACGUGUUAUUUGCAUUUUCCCCACAAUGCGGAUAUAACUGGAGUUUACCAACAUAUGGAAAAUAUGACUGUAACAAUAUUUAAUAUGUAACAACGUGCAAAGCACACGGGCGGUUUCACUGCGGAGCACUGAGAUGAGUUCAAUAACAUGCAUUCAAUAACACGGAUCACAGUUCAUAUCCAAACCAGAGCAAGUGUGACAGUUUGAAAAAAAAAAAAAACAUUUAAAGGAUUAUUUAAUCCUAAUCUGCUAGUACUGUGUAAAAUAAAGUCAUGUAUAGGAAACCCUAAAAUACGCCAUGUGUUUUGAAAAUAAUGCAGAUAUUGUGUGUGUGUGUGUGUGUGUGUGUGUGCGCAUGUGUGCGUGUGUGCGCGCAUGUGUGCACAAUGAAUCAGUGCUUUUAUUUAGAUUUAGGGUAGUUCAUUGCAUUUUGCUUUUGGUAUUUUUUAAACAAAAAUGUCAUUUAGUUUUGCCCAUGAUGGUCUUGCUCACCCGUGUGAGGAUUAUUUGUUAUACAUUCUAUGACCUGUAGAUGACAACUGUGUG